AGAUGGGCAAGAGAAGAGAAGUGAGUGGGGAUUGGAUUAAGGUGUGAGGCCCAGGACGGAGGGACGUAAGGUCUGACAGAGAGGAAUCGGAGGCUGUUGCGGACCUCGUCGUCUUUCUUGCUUUCAGUCUUGAUCUCCAUCGACUGAGAUUGUGAAAUACUGCAACGAAUGCAAUCUAAACUCGGACUUGAUGGCGGAGAAAAGGAGAAUCGCUUCUUGAGG
rnacentral:misc_RNA from 1 species